GGAUGUGAAGCUAUCUGUCUGCGACAUCUUGUCACUCCAUUGAUCCCUAGGAUUGAUUCGGCUGAUCUGGCUGGCUAGGUGGGUGUCCCCUUCCUCCCUCACCACUCCAUGUGCGUACCUCCCAAAGCUGCACGCUCGAUUGAAGAGGACGACAUUCCCCGAUAGAGAAGGGGACCAUUUUUCGGUCAAGGGUAUACAAGUAUGUAGCAGCGCUCCCCUGCUAGAACCUCCAAACAAGCUCUCAUAAAAUGAUGCUAUAGCAAAAAAGGAAUGAGCAUUUUGUUAAGGAAAAGAAGUGUGUAAAAAAUUCUAUUGGUAUAGGCUUUGGUACCUGACUAGUUCUGAGU
rnacentral:snRNA from 1 species